AAUACCUUCGGGUUAACCGGAGUAGUGCAUCAGAAACUGUUGAACUUGAGUGCAGAAGAGGAGAGUGGAACUCCAUGUGUAGCGGUGGAAUGCGUAGAUAUAUGGAAGAACACCAGUGGCGAAGGCGGCUCUCUGGUCUGCAACUGACGCUGAGGCUCGAAAGCAUGGGUAGCGAAC
rnacentral:rRNA from 1 species